rnacentral:rRNA from 1 species
AUUGAACGCUGGCGGCAUGCUUUACACAUGCAAGUCGAACGGCAGCACGGAGAGCUUGCUCUCUGGUGGCGAGUGGCGAACGGGUGAGUAAUAUAUCGGAACGUGUCCAAUAAUGGGGGAUAACUAGUCGAAAGAUUAGCUAAUACCGCAUACGCCCUGAGGGGGAAAGUGGGGGAUCUUCGGACCUCACGUUAAUGGAGCGGCCGAUAUCUGAUUAGCUAGUUGGUAGGGUAAAAGCCUACCAAGGCGACGAUCAGUAGCUGGUCUGAGAGGAUGAUCAGCCACACUGGGACUGAGACACGGCCCAGACUCCUACGGGAGGCAGCAGUGGGGAAUUUUGGACAAUGGGCGCAAGCCUGAUCCAGCCAUGCCGCGUGAGUGAAGAAGGCCUUCGGGUUGUAAAGCUCUUUCGCAAGGAAAGAAAACUUACAUGUAAAUAAUGUGUGAGGUUG